rnacentral:rRNA from 1 species
GACAGAGGGUGCCAGCGUUGUUCGGAAUUAUUGGGCGUAAAGGGCGCGUAGGCGGCCUUGUAAGUCAGAUGUGAAAUCCCAGGGCUCAACCCUGGAAGUGCAUCUGAUACUACUUGGAUUGAGUCCCGGAGAGGGUGGUGGAAUUCCCAGUGUAGAGGUGAAAUUCGUAGAUAUUGGGAGGAACACCGGUGGCGAAGGCGACCACCUGGACGGAGACUGACGCUGAGGAACGAAAGCUAGGGGAGCAAACAGG